UUUGCAUCCGACGAUAUUUAUUGCUGAUAUUGUAAUACCUUCAAUCAACUAAUAAUGAAUAAAUUAAAAUAUAGUUAAACCAACAUAACUCUGUCAGACGAAAUAAAUACGUUGAAAAUUGUCUAUCCCUAAUAACUUUAAUCCUCUCCCGUGCCAGUAUUCCUGCGCAUAGCAGGUUAGCCGAAAGGUGGAAUUCGUUUGCCAGUUGCAUCAAACGUAAAUCAACGCUACCCAUUAAACACGAGUUAGUAGAUAAUAGACUCUCACCUAGUUCAAACCCCACGACAGACAGGGUACAAGGUUUGUUUUCCUACAGGCAAGAAAGUGCUUACAGAGGCACUUCCAGUCUGGGAAUUCAAAAGACACAACAGACAAGGGUACAAGGUUUGUUUUCCUACAGGCAAGAAAGUGCUUACAGAGGCACUUCCAGACUGGGAAUCCAAAAGACACGAUAGACAAACAAUACCCAUCAUACACUAACACUCCCAACUUAAAGAAAAUAAUAAUAAUGAAAGGAAAUUCUUUGACAUAGUCCGUAGACUAUUUUUGGUGGCAGCAACUACCAUAUUAAUCGGACAUCUCGAUUAAUAUUUCAUAAACAAUCAUACCAUUUCAAUUUUCCCCUUCCGAUUAAACUUAAGAUAACACAACAAAAAAAAUUUUAUCUGGAUUUAGUCCAGACUAACACGGAAGGCAUAACACGAUCGAAUCGAACAUAACAGAACGUAACA
rnacentral:misc_RNA from 1 species